rnacentral:rRNA from 1 species
AUUGAACGCUGGCGGCAUGCCUUACACAUGCAAGUCGAACGGCAGCACGGGAGCAAUCCUGGUGGCGAGUGGCGAACGGGUGAGUAAUAUAUCGGAACGUGCCCAGUCGUGGGGGAUAACGCAGCGAAAGCUGUGCUAAUACCGCAUACGAUCUACGGAUGAAAGCGGGGGAUCGCAAGACCUCGCGCGAUUGGAGCGGCCGAUAUCAGAUUAGCUAGUUGGCGGGGUAAAAGCCCACCAAGGCGAUGAUCGAUAGCGGGUCUGAGAGGACGAUCCGUCACACUGGGACUGAGACACGGCCCAGACUCCUACGGGAGGCAGCAGUGGGGAAUUUUGGACAAUGGGGGAAACCCUGAUCCAGCAACGCCGCGUGAAUGAAGAAGGCCUUAGGGUUGUAAAGUUCUUUUGUCAGGGAAGAAAGUUUCUGUGCUAAUACCAUAGAACGAUGACGGUACCUGAAGAAUAAGCACCGGCUAACUACGUGCCAG